UCGAACUCAUCUUUGGUGUCGU
rnacentral:siRNA from 1 species